UCCCUAGUGGCUCAGUGGUAAAGAACCUGCCUGCAAUGCAAGAGGUGUGGGUUCAAUCCCUGCGUUGGGAA
rnacentral:tRNA from 1 species